GCUUCCGGAGCUAACGCGUUAAGUCGACCGCCUCGGGAGUACGGCCGCAAGGAGAAAACUCAAAUAAAUAGACGGGGGCCCGCACAACCGGCGGAGCAUGAGGUGGAAUUAGAUGCAACGAGAAGAACAUCACCUGGCCUCGACAUCCAGAGAACUUAGCAGCGAUGAUGCGGCGCUUCGGGAACUCUGAGACAGACGCAGCAUGGCCGUCGUCAGCUUCAGUUGUGAAAUGGAGGGUUAAGUCCCGCAACGAGCGCAACCGUUAUCCUUGUUUGCCAGCGGUUCGCCCGGGCACUCAAAGGAGACUGCCGGUGAUAAACCGGAGGAAGGUGGGGAUGACGUCAAGUCAUCAUGGCCCUUACGGCCAGGGCUACACACGUGAUACAAUGGCGCAUACAAAGGGAAGCGACCUCGCGAGAGCAAGCGGACCUCAUAAAGUGCGUCGUAGUCCGGAUUGGAGUCUGCAACUCGACUCCAUGAAGU
rnacentral:rRNA from 1 species